UACGUAGGCAGCAAGCGUUGUUCGGAGUUACUGGGCGUAAAGGGUGUGUAGGCGGUUGUUUAAGUUUGGUGUGAAAUCUCCCGGCUCAACUGGGAGGGUGCGCCGAAUACUGAAUGACUAGAGUGUGGGAGAGGUGAGUGGAAUUCCUGGUGUAGCGGUGAAAUGCGUAGAUAUCAGGAGGAACACCGGUGGUGUAGGCGGCUCACUGGACCAUAACUGACGCUGAGACACGAAAGCGUGGGUAGCAAACAGG
rnacentral:rRNA from 1 species